UCUAGAGAACAUCACAGGGUGCAUGGUGAGGAGCCAGAGUGUCAGGGUAUAGCCAGUCCUUGUGGGUUCAAGUCAGCCAUAUCUGGAAAGUUCACGCACUAAACUGUCAUUGCUAUGGAGGCUCAGUGUGACUGGGGUCUAAAUCGCAGGAAUAAAUACCUUCACGUUGACACUGGAUGUCAAGUGUAUACUGUUUCACCAGACUUCAGAUACAGCUAAUUAGGAUCAAAAUCAGCCUCCUGAUGCUUCAGACAAAGAUGUGCCUCCAUCCAAACUGUGAGCAAGAUGGAAGAUUUUUAGCAACUAUCUUUUCUAUCAAGUAUUCAGUGCCACGGCUACCCAGUUUCCAUGAUGCAAGAAUAAGAUCCAAUAGCUGUCAUAUUCUGGGAGUUCAGGAAUGGCCAUCAGGGGAAAGCAAAAACUAAGGCCAAAGAUAAAAAGAAAUUUAAGGUAUUUGCCAUCAAGGUCAUCUUGAACAAGCUCACAGUGAGGUCUCUCCUCAGGCCUCUCUGAACUUCUGGAGGCAGGAAGGAUCCCCGCUCCGGCCUUGGCAGUGGACACAGUCUAUUUUAUUAUCCAUAAUUAACAUGGACUAUAAGAACCCAUCAUUCGUUAAGUCUUCUGAAAGAUGACUCCUUCAGAAAAGGAGUGAGGCUUCAGGAUGAAGACAGGAACCCUCACAUCAGUGAUGUCUGGUCCGUAGCCGGCACUUGAUUGAAAUGGUCCCUACAACUUCCUGCCAGGAAAGCCCCAUUAUGCACAGGUCACAUUUGAGGAAACUGAGGCUCAGGGACACCCAGGGGCUUGGCUUGAAUAGCAGAACAGGAAUCAAAUUCAAAAGCCCAAGUUUGGGGAAAUACAGAAUCAGGUACCGGCUCAAGCAGCUCGCCAUCCUCCAAGAGCAGAGCUGGGGACCCCCUCAGACCAGCCCUGCACCUUCAGCUGGCUCCUUUUGUCCCCCACCCUCUGCCAGCUUCCCAAGAACCCUCCUACACUACCCCUCCUCCAGCGGCUGCCUCAGCAAGCAGCCCAAGGUCUUUGUAGCAUCUGACACAAUUCGAUAGUUCCCUAUUCCCCUCUCCCAGAAGGGGGUGAGGGGGGUGAGAGAGAGAGAGAGAGAGAGAGAGAGAGAGAGAGAGAGAACCACUACAUGCCUUGGGCCUAGAAAAGUGCCUGGCACACGUAGAAGCUAAGUAUCCUUAGUAAGUAAUAACUGUCCCUCUGCAUCCCCAGGGAUGGGCACAGUGCCCACCGGGAAGAGCAGCUGCACACAGCAGCGGUGGCGUGCUGGGCAGGGACUUCUAUUUCCAAGCUGGCUAGUAAGUGAACUAAAGAGGGAGCGUUUCUAAGGCCAUGCAGGCUCUUUAGAACCUGCUAGUAUCUUGCCUCCAAUAUUAAAA